UGAUCAACAAGGACUCCCACAUAUGCAUUCCUUGGAAAUCGGAACAAAAUGAGUGAGUAAAAACAAAAAGAAUUACAAUGUCU
rnacentral:snoRNA from 14 species